ensembl:ncRNA C48A7.11 ncRNA
UCGACGUUGCAAAGAAAUUUGAGAAGAUGAAGAAGAAGAAGGGGAAGCAUCUUCUUCUCCUUCUUCUUCUCCCAUUCCAAUUUCAACUGAAGAAGGGAAAAUUGAAGACGUCCGCAAACCAC